rnacentral:ncRNA from 1 species
UACCUGGUUGAUCCUGCCAGUAGUCAUAUGCUUGUCUCAAAGAUUAAGCCAUGCAAGUCUAAGUACGAGCUCUCGUACAGUGAAACUGCGAAUGGCUCAUUAAAUCAGUUAUGGUUCAUUUGAUCGUACAGUUUACUUGGAUAACUGUGGUAAUUCUAGAGCUAAUACAUGCGAGAAGCGCCGACCUCGCGGGAGGCGUGCAUUUAUCAGACCAAAAACCGGCCGCGUCUUCGGGCGCGUUCGCCUUGGUGACUCUGGAUAACUUUGCGGAUCGCACGGUCUAGCACCGGCGACGGAUCAUUCAAGUGUCUGCCCUAUCAACUUUCGUCGGUACGGUAUUUGCCUACCGAGGUUCUUACGGGUGACGGGGAAUCAGGGUUCGAUUCCGGAGAGGGAGCCUGAGAAACGGCUACCACAUCCAAGGAAGGCAGCAGGCGCGCAAAUUACCCAUUCCCGACGCGGGGAGGUAGUGACGAAAAAUAACAAUG